UAGCGAAGGGGGCUAGCGUUGCUCGGAAUCACUGGGCGUAAAGGGUGCGUAGGCGGGUUCUUAAGUCAGAGGUGAAAUCCUGGAGCUCAACUCCAGAACUGCCUUUGAUACUGAGAGUCUUGAGUUCGGGAGAGGUGAGUGGAACUGCGAGUGUAGAGGUGAAAUUCGUAGAUAUUCGCAAGAACACCAGUGGCGAAGGCGGCUCACUGGCCCGAUACUGACGCUGAAGCACGAAAGCGUGGGGAGCAAACAGG
rnacentral:rRNA from 1 species